GCGGAGAUGCCGGAGCGGUCAAACGGGACGCGCUCAAGACGCGUUGGCUUAGUGCCUGCCUAGGUUCGAAUCCUAGUCUCCGCA
rnacentral:tRNA from 1 species